UACGAAGGUCCCGAGCGUUGUUCGGAAUCACUGGGCGUAAAGGGAGCGUAGGCGGCGUGGUAAGUCGGACGUGAAAUCCCCAGGCUCAACCUGGGAACUGCGUCUGAUACUGGAUGGCUUGAAUCCGGGAGAGGGAUGCAGAAUUCCAGGUGUAGCGGUGAAAUGCGUAGAUAUCUGGAGGAAUACCGGUGGCGAAGGCGGCAUCCUGGACCGGCAUUGACGCUGAGGAGCGAAAGCCAGGGGAGCAAACGGG
rnacentral:rRNA from 1 species